AUUGAACGCUGGCGGCAUGCCUUACACAUGCAAGUCGAACGGUAACAGGCCGCAAGGUGCUGACGAGUGGCGAACGGGUGAGUAAUACAUCGGAACGUGCCCGAUCGUGGGGGAUAACGCAGCGAAAGCUGUGCUAAUACCGCAUACGAUCUACGGAUGAAAGCGGGGGAUCGCAAGACCUCGCGCGGACGGAGCGGCCGAUGGCAGAUUAGGUAGUUGGUGGGGUAAAGGCCUACCAAGCCGACGAUCUGUAGCUGGUCUGAGAGGACGACCAGCAACACUGGGACUGAGACACGGCCCAGACUCCUACGGGAGGCAGCAGUGGGGAAUUUUGGACAAUGGGCGCAAGCCUGAUCCAGCCAUGCCGCGUGCAGGAUGAAGGCCUUCGGGUUGUAAACUGCUUUUGUACGGAACGAAAAGGUUUCUUUUAAUACAGGGAACUGAUGACGGUACCGUAAGAAUAAGCACCGGCUAACUACGUGCCAGCAGCCGCAGUAAAAC
rnacentral:rRNA from 1 species